GAUGAAGAACGUAGCGAAAUGCGAUACUUGGUGUGAAUUGCAGAAUCCCGUGAACCAUCGAGUUUUUGAACGCAAGUUGCGCCCGAAGCCGUUAGGCCGAGGGCACGCCUGCCUGGGUGUCACACACCGUUACCCUCGCGCCAACGUCCAUCGUUGGCCGCGGCGCGGGGCGUGCGCUGACCUCCCGCGAGCGGGGUCUCGUGGUUGGUUGAAAAUCGAGUUCGCGGUCGAGGGUGCCGUGAUGAAAUGGUGGAUGGGCGACGCCCGAGGCCAAUCACGCGCGACUCUGUCCGGCCCGGACUCCUGGACCCCUUCGGCGUCUCCGGACGCUCUUUGGCGAGACCUCAGGUCAGGCGGGGCUACCCGCUGAGUUUAAGCAUAUCAAUAAGCGGAGGA
rnacentral:misc_RNA from 1 species